CACGCUUAGAAAAAGGUAUCUAGAACCUAAAAGGGUUCUUCGGAUGUCCCUAUUGGAGAACCCUUUGAAGAACCCUUUUUGGUUCCAGGUAGAACUCUUUUGGGGUUCCAUGUAGAACCCUUUCCACCGAGUGUUCUACAUGGCACCCAAAAGGGUUCUACUUGGUAACCAAACAUUUUUAAACCUGGAACCAAAAAGAACCCUUUUGGAACCUUUUUUUCCCCUAAGAGUGUAGUGCUACUCCUUCCACCAGGACUUGUCUCUCUGACAUCCCUGGGUGUGUCCCAAUAAAAUGUACUUUCUCCUGAAGUGUACACUUGUUCACUACUUCCCACAAAUCUAAAAGCAUUGGAUUGGUGGAGGCGUGGGCUAAGUGGGUGUUUCCACCUUAUUUCUUAUACCAGUCAUUGUUCUUCAAAUCAGUGAAAUGCACGCUUUGGGAGGAAGGAGAGAUCUUGUGGUCCUUCUGUGGCUCAGUUGGUAGAGCAUGGCGCUUGUAACGCCAGGGUAGUGGGUUUGAUUCCCGGGACCACCCAUACGUAGAAUGUAUGCACACAUGACUGUAAGUCGCUUUGGAUAAAAGCGUCAGCUAAAUGGCAUAUAUUAUAUUUAUAUAUAUCUUUGGGACAGACUCCCUAUCUUGUAUGCAAUAUUUACUCCUCUCCUAGGCUGAAUUUAUAUACAGGAGGACACCUGAGAGUGAGGCUGGACAUGUACAGGAGGAGACCUGUGAGUGAGUGUUAGAGAAGUUCAACAUCAUGAGCGGGACGUUCAGUGUUCUAUGACGAAAAAUGUGUCGACAUUCUAUUUUUCCUGACUAAAACUAUGCCUAUAACGAGACGAGGUGCCCUCGAAAAUAUAACUAUGACAAAUGUUUUUCUUCGUUUGAGUUGAUGAAAAUGUAACGAGAUUUGACGUGACGCCCCUUUUAAUCUGUUUUGUCCAAUCAGAAGCAUGCAUACCUUUGCAGAAUAUUUAAUUAAAUUCUCUUAUUGGCUGAUAACAUCUGUCAUGCGCCCGGGCUACUUGAGUUUAUAGCCCUACCAGUCUUUCCAACACACACAGCUCCCAGGCGGUCGCUUCAAUCGUCUAUGUUUUUGAACUGAUGCUCAGAGAACUUCUAAAUUGUAACUAACCUCUAUUCUGUUAAGAAACAAUCAUGUUCAUAUUGGAUAUUUUUUACUUUGAUCACAUCCGAAGCUAUACGUUGCCAUUUGCGCUAAUAUUCAUUAGUGUUGCCGCUCUCACGGUACGCAAAUAAAAGCCGCAGUUAAUUUUUUCCGAUUGGAAAUACUACUGCUAUUUACUGAAUAUCAGGAACACAGCAAUAAUUCUGUCUUCGUUGGAAAGCUUUGAUUCUCCCCCUUUUUCAAUCGAGUCACUGUUAUUUAACCCCCUCUGGCGAUUAUGAUGGGUAGAAAAUCACAGCUGUUAAUUGGUUAACCUGUAUCCAAUCACGGCUAUUGUUACUUCCACAAUGGCAAUUUGCCAGCUACGUCAUAGGAGAGUAUACACACUGUACUAGUAAGCCCAGUUGGACAAGGCUGAAUAUGCACACGAUCAAAGUUAGGGAGAAGACUAAAUAUUAGUUAUUUAGUGGAAAAUUUAUUGAUUAAAAUAUCACUAAAACUACACAAAAAUGAUCCAGUUUUAGUCGACUGAUAGUUUCUAAAAUGACGAAAUGGCUCAAAUUUGACAAAGACUAAAAGCUAUUUUAGUCAAAACAAAAAAACGAAACAAAAAAAAUAGCUGACAAAAUGAAUACUGCUGGAUACCAGUCUGUGUGCCAUCAAGGCAUAACACGUGUGUCACGACAUGAUAGCACACACACAUCUGGGACCAGGCUACAUAUAAAGAGGCGAGUUGCCUUGGAAGUGUUUUUUAGCGAGGGGGCCUUUUUGCCAAUUAACAACACACAGCUGGCCUGUCAAGAAACAGCUUUUUCGUUCUCGUCUGUGCACUUGGUGUUUACGUGUAUGCUGCAUCAGAGAGCACCUUUGGCUUUGCGGUUUACCGCUGAAGAUUAGCACGUUGUUGAUACAUGAGCUGAGGUUGUGCUACAAGGGCGCAACAGACAGACACUUCUAAGACCCAGUAAUGAUGAAGGGGUUCAGAUAUCAUGGUGUCUGUUUCAGUAACGAUGAAGGGGUUCAGAUAUCAUAGUGUCUGUUUCAGUAAUGAUAAGAGGGGUUCAGAUAUCAUGGUGUCUGUUUCAGUAAUGAUGAAGGGGUUCAGAUAUCAUGGUGUCUGUUUCAGUAACGAUGAAGGGGUUCAGAUAUCAUGGUGUCUGUUUCAGUAAUGAUGAAGGGGUUCAGAUAUCAUAGUGUCUGUUUCAGUAAUGAUAAGAGGGGUUCAGAUAUCAUGGUGUCUGUUUCAGUAAUGAUGAAGGGGUUCAGAUAUCAUGGUGUCUGUUUCAGUAACGAUGAAGGGGUUCAGAUAUCAUGGUGUCUGUUUCAGUAACGAUGAAGGGGUUCAGAUAUCAUGGUGUCUGUUUCAGUAACGAUGAAGGGGUUCAGAUAUCAUAGUGUCUGUUGUUUCAGUAACGAUGAAGGGGUUCAGAUAUCAUGGUGUCUGUUUCAGUAAUGAUGAAAGGGUUCUGAUAUCAUGGUGUCUGUUUCAGUAAUGAUGAAGGGGUUCAGAUAUCAUGGUGUCUGUUUCAGUAACGAUGAAGGGGUUCAGAUAUCAUGGUGUCUGUUUCAGUAACGAUGAAGGGGUUCAGAUAUCAUAGUGUCUGUUGUUUCAGUAACGAUGAAGGGGUUCAGAUAUCAUGGUGUCUGUUUCAGUAAUGAUAAGAGGGGUUCAGAUAUCAUGGUGUCUGUUGUUUCAGUAAUGAUGAAGGGGUUCAGAUAUCAUGGUGUCUGUUUCAGUAAUGAUGAAGGGGUUCAGAUAUCAUGGUGUCUGUUGUUUCAGUAAUGAUGAAGGGGUUCAGAUAUCAUGGUGUCUGUUUCAGUAAUGAUGAAGGGGUUCAGAUAUCAUGGUGUCUGUUGUUUCAGUAACGAUGAAGGGGUUCAGAUAUCAUGGUGUCUGUUGUUUCAGUAAUGAUGAAGGGGUUCAGAUAUCAUGGUGUCUGUUUCAGUAACGAUGAAGGGGUUCAGAUAUCAUGGUGUCUGUUUCAGUAAUGAUAAGAGGGGUUCAGAUAUCAUGGUGUCUGUUUCAGUAACGAUGAAGGGGUUCAGAUAUCAUGGUGUCUGUUUCAGUAAUGAUAAGAGGGGUUCAGAUAUCAUGUUGUCUGUUUCAGUAACGAUGAAGGGGUUCAGAUAUCAUGGUGUCUGUUGUUUCAGUAACGAUGAAGUGGUUCAGAUAUCAUGGUCUCUGUUGUUUCAGUAAUGAUGAAGGGGUUCAGAUAUCAUAGUGUCUGUUGUUUCAGUAACGAUGAAGGGGUUCAGAUAUCAUGGUGUCUGUUUCAGUAAUGAUGAAAGGGUUCAGAUAUCAUGGUGUCUGUUGUUUCAGUAACGAUAAGAGGGGUUCAGAUAUCAUGGUGUCUGUUUCAGUAAUGAUGAAGGGGUUCAGAUAUCAUAGUGUCUGUUGUUUCAGUAAUGAUAAGAGGGGUUGAGAUACCAUGGUGUCUGUUUCAGUAACGAUGAAGGGGUUCAGAUAUCAUGGUGUCUGUUUCAGUAAUGAUGAAGUGGUUCAGAUAUCAUGGUGUCUGUUUCAGUAAUGAUGAAGGGGUUCAGAUAUCAUAGUGUCUGUUUCAGUAAUGAUAAGAGGGGUUCAGAUAUCAUGGUGUCUGUUUCAGUAAUGAUGAAGGGGUUCAGAUAUCAUGGUGUCUGUUUCAGUAACGAUGAAGGGGUUCAGAUAUCAUGGUGUCUGUUGUUUCAGUAAUGAUAAGAGGGGUUCAGAUAUCAUGGUGCCUGUUGUUUCAGUAACGAAGAAGGGGUUCAGAUAUCAUAGUGUCUUGUUUCAGUAAUGAUAAGAGGGGUUCAGAUAUCAUGGUGUCUGUUUCAGUAAUGAUAAGAGGGGUUCAGAUAUCAUGGUGUCUGUUUCAGUAACGAUAAAAGGGGUUCAGAUAUCAUAGUGUAUGUUGUUUCAGUAAUGAUGAAGGGGUUCAGAUAUCAUGGUGUCUGUUGUUUCAGUAACGAUAAGAGGGGUUCAGAUAUCAUGGUGUCUGUUGUUUCAGUAAUGAUAAGAGGGGUUCAGAUAUCAUAGUGUCUGUUUCAGUAAUGAUGAAGGGGUUCAGAUAUCAUGGUGUCUGUUGUUUCAGUAAUGAUAAGAGGGGUUCAGAUAUCAUGGUGUCUAUUUCAGUAAUGAUGAAGGGGUUCAGAUAUCAUGGUAUCUGUUUCAGUAACGAUGAAGGGGUUCAGAUAUCAUGGUGUCUGUUUCAGUAAUGAUAAGAGGGGUUCAGAUAUCAUGGUGUCUGUUUCAGUAAUGACAAGAGGGGUUCAGAUAUCAUGGUGUCUGUUGUUUCAGUAAUGAUGAAGGGGUUCAGAUAUCAUGGUGUCUGUUGUUUCAGUAACGAUGAAUGGGUUCAGAUAUCAUGGUGUCUGUUGUUUCAGUAAUGAUGAAGGGGUUCAGAUAUCAUGGUGUCUGUUUCAGUAAUGAUAAGAGGGGUUCAGAUAUCAUGGUGUCUGUUGUUUCAGUAAUGAUGAAGGGGUUCAGAAAUCAUGGUGUCUGUUGUUUCAGUAAUGAUGAAGGGGUUCAGAUAUCAUGGUGUCUGUUUCAGUAAUGAUAAGAGGGUUCAGAUAUCAUGGUGUCUGUUGUUUCAGUAAUGAUAAGAGGGGUUCAGAUAUCAUGGUGUCUGUUGUUUCAGUAAUGAUGAAGGGGUUCAGAUAUCAUGGUGUCUGUUUCAGUAACGAUGAAGGGGUUCAGAUAUCAUGGUGUCUGUUUCAGUAAUGAUGAAGUGGUUCAGAUAUCAUGGUGUCUGUUUCAGUAAUGAUGAAGGGGUUCAGAUAUCAUAGUGUCUGUUUCAGUAAUGAUAAGAGGGGUUCAGAUAUCAUGGUGUCUGUUUCAGUAAUGAUGAAGGGGUUCAGAUAUCAUGGUGUCUGUUUCAGUAACGAUGAAGGGGUUCAGAUAUCAUGGUGUCUGUUGUUUCAGUAAUGAUAAGAGGGGUUCAGAUAUCAUGGUGUCUGUUGUUUCAGUAACGAAGAAGGGGUUCAGAUAUCAUAGUGUCUUGUUUCAGUAAUGAUAAGAGGGGUUCAGAUAUCAUGGUGUCUGUUUCAGUAAUGAUAAGAGGGGUUCAGAUAUCAUGGUGUCUGUUUCAGUAACGAUAAAAGGGGUUCAGAUAUCAUAGUGUAUGUUGUUUCAGUAAUGAUGAAGGGGUUCAGAUAUCAUGGUGUCUGUUGUUUCAGUAACGAUAAGAGGGGUUCAGAUAUCAUGGUGUCUGUUGUUUCAGUAACGAAGAAGGGGUUCAGAUAUCAUAGUGUCUUGUUUCAGUAAUGAUAAGAGGGGUUCAGAUAUCAUGGUGUCUGUUUCAGUAAUGAUAAGAGGGGUUCAGAUAUCAUGGUGUCUGUUUCAGUAACGAUAAAAGGGGUUCAGAUAUCAUAGUGUAUGUUGUUUCAGUAAUGAUGAAGGGGUUCAGAUAUCAUGGUGUCUGUUGUUUCAGUAACGAUAAGAGGGGUUCAGAUAUCAUAGUGUCUGUUUCAGUAAUGAUGAAGGGGUUCAGAUAUCAUGGUGUCUGUUGUUUCAGUAAUGAUAAGAGGGGUUCAGAUAUCAUGGUGUCUAUUUCAGUAAUGAUGAAGGGGUUCAGAUAUCAUGGUAUCUGUUUCAGUAACGAUGAAGGGGUUCAGAUAUCAUGGUGUCUGUUUCAGUAAUGAUAAGAGGGGUUCAGAUAUCAUGGUGUCUGUUUCAGUAAUGACAAGAGGGGUUCAGAUAUCAUGGUGUCUGUUGUUUCAGUAAUGAUGAAGGGGUUCAGAUAUCAUGGUGUCUGUUGUUUCAGUAACGAUGAAUGGGUUCAGAUAUCAUGGUGUCUGUUGUUUCAGUAAUGAUGAAGGGGUUCAGAUAUCAUGGUGUCUGUUUCAGUAAUGAUAAGAGGGGUUCAGAUAUCAUGGUGUCUGUUGUUUCAGUAAUGAUGAAGGGGUUCAGAAAUCAUGGUGUCUGUUGUUUCAGUAAUGAUGAAGGGGUUCAGAUAUCAUGGUGUCUGUUUCAGUAAUGAUAAGAGGGGUUCAGAUAUCAUGGUGUCUGUUGUUUCAGUAAUGAUAAGAGGGGUUCAGAUAUCAUGGUGUCUGUUGUUUCAGUAAUGAUGAAGGGGUUCAGAUAUCAUGGUGUCUGUUUCAGUAACGAUGAAGGGGUUCAGAUAUCAUGGUGUCUGUUUCAGUAAUGAUGAAGUGGUUCAGAUAUCAUGGUGUCUGUUUCAGUAAUGAUGAAGGGGUUCAGAUAUCAUAGUGUCUGUUUCAGUAAUGAUAAGAGGGGUUCAGAUAUCAUGGUGUCUGUUUCAGUAAUGAUGAAGGGGUUCAGAUAUCAUGGUGUCUGUUUCAGUAACGAUGAAGGGGUUCAGAUAUCAUGGUGUCUGUUGUUUCAGUAAUGAUAAGAGGGGUUCAGAUAUCAUGGUGUCUGUUGUUUCAGUAACGAAGAAGGGGUUCAGAUAUCAUAGUGUCUUGUUUCAGUAAUGAUAAGAGGGGUUCAGAUAUCAUGGUGUCUGUUUCAGUAAUGAUAAGAGGGGUUCAGAUAUCAUGGUGUCUGUUUCAGUAACGAUAAAAGGGGUUCAGAUAUCAUAGUGUAUGUUGUUUCAGUAAUGAUGAAGGGGUUCAGAUAUCAUGGUGUCUGUUGUUUCAGUAACGAUAAGAGGGGUUCAGAUAUCAUGGUGUCUGUUGUUUCAGUAAUGAUAAGAGGGGUUCAGAUAUCAUAGUGUCUGUUUCAGUAAUGAUGAAGGGGUUCAGAUAUCAUGGUGUCUGUUGUUUCAGUAAUGAUAAGAGGGGUUCAGAUAUCAUGGUGUCUAUUUCAGUAAUGAUGAAGGGGUUCAGAUAUCAUGGUAUCUGUUUCAGUAACGAUGAAGGGGUUCAGAUAUCAUGGUGUCUGUUUCAGUAAUGAUAAGAGGGGUUCAGAUAUCAUGGUGUCUGUUUCAGUAAUGACAAGAGGGGUUCAGAUAUCAUGGUGUCUGUUGUUUCAGUAAUGAUGAAGGGGUUCAGAUAUCAUGGUGUCUGUUGUUUCAGUAACGAUGAAUGGGUUCAGAAAUCAUGGUGUCUGUUGUUUCAGUAAUGAUGAAGGGGUUCAGAUAUCAUGGUGUCUGUUUCAGUAAUGAUAAGAGGGGUUCAGAUAUCAUGGUGUCUGUUGUUUCAGUAAUGAUAAGAGGGGUUCAGAUAUCAUGGUGUCUGUUGUUUCAGUAAUGAUGAAGGGGUUCAGAUAUCAUGGUGUCUGUUUCAGUAAUGAUGAAGGGGUUCAGAUAUCAUGGUGUCUGUUUCAGUAAUGAUAAGAGGGGUUCAGAUAUCAUGGUGUCUGUUUCAGUAAUGACAAGAGGGGUUCAGAUAUCAUGGUGUCUGUUGUUUCAGUAAUGAUGAAGGGGUUCAGAUAUCAUGGUGUCUGUUGUUUCAGUAACGAUGAAUGGGUUCAGAUAUCAUGGUGUCUGUUGUUUCAGUAAUGAUGAAGGGGUUCAGAUAUCAUGGUGUCUGUUUCAGUAAUGAUAAGAGGGGUUCAGAUAUCAUGGUGUCUGUUUCAAAUGAUGAAGUGGUUCAGAUAUCAUGGUGUCUGUUUCAGUAAUGAUGAAGGGGUUCAGAUAUCAUAGUGUCUGUUUCAGUAAUGAUAAGAGGGGUUCAGAUAUCAUGGUGUCUGUUUCAGUAAUGAUGAAGGGGUUCAGAUAUCAUGGUGUCUGUUUCAGUAACGAUGAAGGGGUUCAGAUAUCAUGGUGUCUGUUGUUUCAGUAAUGAUAAGAGGGGUUCAGAUAUCAUGGUGUCUGUUGUUUCAGUAACGAAGAAGGGGUUCAGAUAUCAUAGUGUCUUGUUUCAGUAAUGAUAAGAGGGGUUCAGAUAUCAUGGUGUCUGUUUCAGUAAUGAUAAGAGGGGUUCAGAUAUCAUGGUGUCUGUUUCAGUAACGAUAAAAGGGGUUCAGAUAUCAUAGUGUAUGUUGUUUCAGUAAUGAUGAAGGGGUUCAGAUAUCAUGGUGUCUGUUGUUUCAGUAACGAUAAGAGGGGUUCAGAUAUCAUGGUGUCUGUUGUUUCAGUAAUGAUAAGAGGGGUUCAGAUAUCAUAGUGUCUGUUUCAGUAAUGAUGAAGGGGUUCAGAUAUCAUGGUGUCUGUUGUUUCAGUAAUGAUAAGAGGGGUUCAGAUAUCAUGGUGUCUAUUUCAGUAAUGAUGAAGGGGUUCAGAUAUCAUGGUAUCUGUUUCAGUAACGAUGAAGGGGUUCAGAUAUCAUGGUGUCUGUUUCAGUAAUGAUAAGAGGGGUUCAGAUAUCAUGGUGUCUGUUUCAGUAAUGACAAGAGGGGUUCAGAUAUCAUGGUGUCUGUUGUUUCAGUAAUGAUGAAGGGGUUCAGAUAUCAUGGUGUCUGUUGUUUCAGUAACGAUGAAUGGGUUCAGAAAUCAUGGUGUCUGUUGUUUCAGUAAUGAUGAAGGGGUUCAGAUAUCAUGGUGUCUGUUUCAGUAAUGAUAAGAGGGGUUCAGAUAUCAUGGUGUCUGUUGUUUCAGUAAUGAUAAGAGGGGUUCAGAUAUCAUGGUGUCUGUUGUUUCAGUAAUGAUGAAGGGGUUCAGAUAUCAUGGUAUCUGUUUCAGUAACGAUGAAGGGGUUCAGAUAUCAUGGUGUCUGUUUCAGUAAUGAUAAGAGGGGUUCAGAUAUCAUGGUGUCUGUUUCAGUAAUGACAAGAGGGGUUCAGAUAUCAUGGUGUCUCUUGUUUCAGUAAUGAUGAAGGGGUUCAGAUAUCAUGGUGUCUGUUGUUUCAGUAACGAUGAAUGGGUUCAGAUAUCAUGGUGUCUGUUGUUUCAGUAAUGAUGAAGGGGUUCAGAUAUCAUGGUGUCUGUUUCAGUAAUGAUAAGAGGGGUUCAGAUAUCAUGGUGUCUGUUGUUUCAGUAAUGAUGAAGGGGUUCAGAAAUCAUGGUGUCUGUUGUUUCAGUAAUGAUGAAGGGGUUCAGAUAUCAUGGUGUCUGUUUCAGUAAUGAUAAGAGGGGUUCAGAUAUCAUGGUGUCUGUUGUUUCAGUAAUGAUAAGAGGGGUUCAGAUAUCAUGGUGUCUGUUGUUUCAGUAAUGAUGAAGGGGUUCAGAUAUCAUGGUGUCUGUUUCAGUAACGAUGAAGGGGUUCAGAUAUCAUGGUGUCUGUUGUUUCAGUAAUGAUGAAGGGGUUCAGAUAUCAUAGUGUCUGUUUCAGUAACGAUGAAGGGGUUCAGAUAUCAUGGUGUCUGUUUCAGUAAUGAUGAAGGGGUUAAGAUAUCAUGGUGUCUGUUGUUUCAGUAAUGAUGAAGGGGUUCAGAUAUCAUGGUGUCUGGUGUUUCAGUAAUGAUGAAGGGGUUCAGAUAUCAUGGUGUCUGUUUCAGUAAUGAUGAAGGGGUUCAGAUAUCAUAGUGUCUGUUGUUUCAGUAAAGAUGAAGGGGUUCAGAUAUCAUGGUGUCUGUUUCAGUAAUGAUGAAGGGGUUCAGAUAGCAUGGUGUCUGUUUCAGUAAUGAUGAAGGGGUUCAGAUAUCAUGGUGUCUGUUGUUUCAGUAAUGAUAAGAGGGGUUCAGAUAUCAUGGUGUCUGUUUCAGUAAUGAUGAAGGGGUUCAGAUAUCAUGGUGUCUGUUUCAGUAAUGCUGAAUGGGUUCAGAUAUCAUAGUGUCUGUUGUUUCAGUAAAGAUGAAGGGGUUCAGAUAUCAUGGUGUCUGUUUCAGUAAUGAUGAAGGGGUUCAGAUAUCAUGGUGUCUGUUGUUUCAGUAAUGAUAAGAGGGGUUCAGAUAUCAUGGUGUCUGUUUCAGUAAUGAUGAAGGGUUUCAGAUAUCAUGGUGUCUGUUUCAGUAAUGAUAAGAGGGGUUCAGAUAUCAUGGUGUCUGUUUCAGUAAUGAUGAAGGGGUUCAGAUAUCAUGGUGUCUGUUGUUUCAGUAAUGAUAAGAGGGUUUCAGAUAUCAUGGUGUCUGUUUCAGUAAUGAUGAAGGGGUUCAGAUAUCAUGGUGUCUGUUUCAGUAAUGAUGAAGGGGUUCAGAUAUCAUAGUGUCUGUUGUUUCAGUAAAGAUGAAGGGGUUCAGAUAUCAUGGUGUCUGUUUCAGUAAUGAUGAAGGGGUUCAGAUAUCAUGGUGUCUGUUGUUUCAGUAAUGAUAAGAGGGGUUCAGAUAUCAUGGUGUCUGUUGUUUCAGUAAUGAUGAAGGGGUUCAGAUAUCAUGGUGUCUGUUUCAGUAAUGAUGAAUGGGUUCAGAUAUCAUAGUGUCUGUUGUUUCAGUAAAGAUGAAGGGGUUCAGAUAUCAUGGUGUCUGUUUCAGUAAUGAUGAAGGGGUUCAGAUAUCAUGGUGUCUGUUGUUUCAGUAAUGAUAAGAGGGGUUCAGAUAUCAUGGUGUCUGUUUCAGUAAUGAUGAAGGGUUUCAGAUAUCAUGGUGUCUGUUUCAGUAAUGAUAAGAGGGGUUCAGAUAUCAUGGUGUCUGUUGUUUCAGUAACGAUGAAGGGGUUCAGAUAUCAUAGUGUCUGUUGUUUCAGUAACGAUGAAGGGGUUCAGAUAUCAUGGUGUCUGUUUCAGUAACGAUGAAGGGGUUCAGAUAUCAUGGUGUCUGUUUCAGUAACGAUGAAGGGGUUCAGAUAUCAUAGUGUCUGUUGUUUCAGUAAUGAUGAAGGGUUCGGAUAUCAUGGUGUCUGUUGUUUCAGUAAUGAUGAAGGGGUUCAGAUAUCAUAGUGUCUGUUGUUUCAGUAAUGAUGAAGGGGUUCAGAUAUCAUAGUGUCUGUUGUUUCAGUAACAAUGAAGGGGUUCAGAUAUCAUGGUGUCUGUUUCAGUAAUGAUGAAGGGGUUCAGAUAUCAUAGUGUCUGUUGUUUCAGUAAUGAUGAAGGGGUUCAGAUAUCAUAGUGUCUGUUGUUUCAGUAAUGAUGAAGGGGUUCAGAUAUCAUAGUGUCUGUUGUUUCAGUAAUGAUGAAGGGGUUCAGAUAUCAUGGUGUCUGUUGUUUCAGUAAUGAUGAAGGGGUUCAGAUAUCAUGGUGUCUGUUGUUUCAGUCAUCAUCGUGCUUCUACACCUGCAUUGCUUGCUGUUUGGGAUUUUAUGGCUGGGUUUCUGUACAGCACUUUGAGAUAUCAGCUGAUGUAAGAAGGGCUUUAUAAAUCGAUUUGAUUUGAUGUCCUUGGCCUCAUUGAGUACCUGGGACUCAGUUCCAAAAUCCAAAGUAACUUAUAACUUAUUAACAUAUAACUUAGAGUGAAGCAAUGUUAUUUUUGUCAUGCAUUCUAAGUGGUGUGCUGGAAUGGACAUUGGUACGUAGCUGGGUUUUAUUAUAUUCAGUUACUUAUUUCUAAAAGUAUGUGACUUACUCUAUUUACCUUUCUACCAUCUGUAGUUUAUUAGAGAUCAACUGUUCGUCCGUGGAUGUUAUACAUGGACCAACGAAUGUGGAAUGUUGAAACCGAGAUAUGAGAGGAACUGUGACGUACAGCCACGUCUCUGACGUGAAAUCACGUCUGCAAACAUUGAAUUGGACUUUGUCUAAAUACUGUAUUGCUCAAACGUAAAUAAGAAAGUGUAUUUCCUAAUACCUGAUUAUUGUAUUGGGGGUAUUCUCUAGCAACACUGUGUGUGUAUUUCCUAAUACCUGAUUAUUGUAUUGGGGGUAUUCUCUAGCAACACUGUGUGUGUGUAUUUCCUAAUACCUGAUUAUUGUAUUGGGGGUAUUCUCUAGCAACACUGUGUGUGUGUAUUUCCUAAUACCUGAUUAUUGUAUUGGGGGUAUUCUCUAGCAACACUGUGUGUGUGUAUUUCCUAAUACCUGAUUAUUGUAUUGGGGGUAUUCUCUAGCAACACUGUGUGUGUAUUUCCUAAUACCUGAUUAUUGUAUUGGGGGUAUUCUCUAGCAACACUGUGUGUGUGUAUUUCCUAAUACCUGAUUAUUGUAUUGGGGGUAUUCUCUAGCAACACUGUGUGUGUGUAUUUCCUAAUACCUGAUUAUUGUAUUGGGGGUAUUCUCUAGCAACACUGUGUGUGUGUAUUUCCUAAUACCUGAUUAUUGUAUUGGGGGUAUUCUCUAGCAACACUGUGUGUGUUUAUUUCCUAAUACCUGAUUAUUGUAUUGGGGGUAUUCUCUAGCAACACUGUGUGUGUGUAACUGUGUGUGUGUAUUUCCUAAUACCUGAUUAUUGUAUUGGGGGUAUUCUCUAGCAACACUGUGUGUGUGUGUGUAUUUCCUAAUACCUGAUUAUUUUAUUGGGGGUAUUCUCUAGCAACACUGUGUGUGUUUAU